UACGUAGGGACCGAGCGUUGUCCGGAAUCAUUGGGCGUAAAGAGCGUGUAGGCGGCUUGCUAAGUCUUGCGUGAAAUCUCGGGGCUCAACCCCGAGCGGUCGUGAGAAACUGGCAGGCUAGAGUGCGGGAGAGGAGAGUGGAAUUCCUGGUGUAGCGGUGAAAUGCGCAGAUAUCAGGAAGAACACCCGUGGCAAAGGCGGCUCUCUGGAACGCAACUGACGCUGAGACGCGAAAGCGUGGGGAGCAAACAGG
rnacentral:rRNA from 1 species